rnacentral:rRNA from 1 species
AAAAACAUGUCUGCUUGAAACUAAGAUCAGUCUGGCCUGCCCACUGAAAUAUUAAAGGGCCGCGGUAAUUUGACCGUGCGAAGGUAGCAUAAUCAUUAGUCUUUUAAUUGGAGACCUGUAUGAAGGGUUGGACAAAAAAUUAACUGUCUUAAUAGUUUACGUUGAAGUUAACUUUUAAGUGAAGAGGCUUAAAUAACUCUUAAAGACGAUAAGACCCUAUAAAACUUUACAUACGCUUGACUAAGACUUCAAUUAUUUGUAAAAAGUUUUUUUUAACCCUGUGUUUCAUUGGGGAGAUGGAAGUAUAAAACUAGCUGCUUAAUUCUUAAUACAAAAUCUUUGAAUUUUAAUUGAUCCUUGAUACAGAUAAAAGAAAAAGUUACUUUAGGGAUAACAGCGUUAUUUUUUUUGAGAGUUCUUAUCGACAAAAAAGCUUGCGACCUCGAUGUUGAAUUAAAAUUUCCUUGUGGUGCAGUAGCCACUAGGGCAAGUCUGUUCGACUUUUAAAAUUUUACAUGAUUUGAGUUCAAACCGGUGUGAGCCAGGUU